CCCAAAUUUCUAGAGCCAAAAAGAGAGAGAUUGUAAAUAAAAUGAGAGAGAUUGUAAAUAAAAUGACUGGUUCCAGACCACAUCUGAUAGAUGGUGGCAAAGAUCAAGUUGUAAGAGAAAAAAGGAAAUGUCAGAGAGACAGAUAAAUGGGACAUAAAAGAAACAGGUAUUUCGUAAUCACAUCGUCUGGGAGGAGUCUGCUCAGAAUUUACAGCAUCUGGCUUUGGAGGAGAAAGAGAAAUACUUGGUGUUCCCUGGACUGGAUUUGAGUUCCGGUUUGCUGGAGAAAAAGGCACCCCUCCCCCUUUGAAACUUCUGGGACAAACUCCGAGAGAGGUCGUUGAGUUGAAUCAUCACAAAAGGUGAGAACACUGAGGUCACAGCAGGUUCUUCUGACUCUUCAGUCCCCACAUGUUUGAAGAGAUGGACGAGUCCCUAACAUUUACUGAGUGCUUUGAGCCUGGCCCACAACAACCCAACGAGGGAUAUUUGGACACAGAACACAAAGUGAAAAUGAAGGCAGAGAUCAGGGUGGUGCAUCUCCAUACAAGCCAAAGAUUGCCCGCAAACCACCAGGAGCUAGGAGAGAGUCAAGGAACGGAUUCUCUUUCACGACACUCAGAAGAGACCAACCCUGCUUUGAUCUUUAAGUUCCAGCCUCCGCAACUGUGAGAACACAACGUUCUGUUUGAGGCAUCCAGUCUGUGGUACUUUGUGACAAAAGCCCCAGGAAACAAUACAGACUAGAGACUUCAACCAACCAUCUGCCAAGAUAACAGGGGGCUCAGAAACCAAAGAAGUUAUAGCUACUGUUUGAAGACAGCUCUUUUCCAUGUGAUGAUUCAGAAACUCAGGCGCCUUCCAGCUUGUGGCUGUACUAUCCCCAAGGGUCUAGGACCUCAUCAUUAUUCUUCCCUUCCAGACACAACUGUCCAUUUGCACCCUUCAUCCCGCACAGAGAGCCUACACCCACGUCCUCCUUAAGGAAAAUAACCCAGAGCUCCGUUCAGUCUCUACAACCACUUGAAAUUCUGGGACUCUGGAGAACACCACGUCUCCUCAAUCAGAUCUACAUGUGGCUCCUGAUGGUCCAACAAUUAUUAACUAAAAGACCCAGUUAUUUGCUCCUCCAAUCCACAUCUGCUAUGCCAUGGAGGAACAGGGACUUGAGAACUGCAAUAAAACUCUCAUUCAGAAAAAGGGAGAAUGGGAAAGAGUCCUUGGUUAAUAGCACAAUGGAAUCUUGCUAGGUGGGCAGUGUGAAGGCCCUUUGCCAGGUAAGAGGGGAUAAACGCCUUGCUUAGUCCUUUAAUCUGCUCUCUGGGAGGGUUUCAUUAUCUAUUUUUCUCUAAGGCCCCUUGCUCCAUCCUUUUGGAUAUCCUUCCUUGUCCAUUAUCCUUUUGGGCCACUUCCGAAGUAUACUCCUGAAAGACUGUGCAGCCUUCCUAGCCCACUUUCUUCUCAGGCAAAUCUAGGAACAAAGGGCAAGCUUUACCAACCAAAGAUGAUUUCAUCCCAGCUUGUGACUCCUUAGUAAUACAAUUCCCUACAAAACUUAGUAAUCUUCUGAUUUAUUUGCUUCCAGUGGAUUCCAAGUGCCAGUAACCACACCCCAAAUUUUUUCCUGGACAUAAUUCUGAAGC